AUAAUUUGUCUUAACUUGAUGCAAGGGUUACGACAUCUAACACGAGUUUGUCAUUUUUUUAUCCAUGUAUUCUUAAACAUUAUUAGUAAUCGUGUUAUUUUCAUUUACUACUUGGGUAGUUGGUCCAGCUAUACGGUGCCGUGCCUGGGCCUGGAGGAGUCGGGCUUCACUGGGCCACGACCGGAUCAGGCCCAUUUAACCUUAGACAGGCCGGUGCCCGGGGCAAGCCGACCUGAUGGCCACCUAUAGCUAUACCCCCUCUCAUUCUCUUAAAAAAAGAAAAAUAAAAGCUAUACCCCCUCUCCCCAUCUCCUUGCCGAGCCCCACAGCCCCCUCGCUCCGUGCAUCUUCUUCCUCCUCGCGCAAGCGCUGCCACUCAUCCCGCUGCCGAGUGCCCGAGCCCCCUUCGUGUUCCUCCUCGCUCGAGCGCCUCCACCGUAGGUUGAUCUCCCCUUCGAUUCUCUCGCCCCCGACCGUUUCUCCUCCCAUCACACCACGAACGGAUUCCGCCCUUUAUAUCCCCAUUUCAUAAUCUUCCCCAAUUCGUAACUGAGGCAAAAUCAAGGUAGAGCGAGCACCCUACCUUGCCCUACUGGGUCCUCCGCCCGUGAUAGAGAAGGCUUUGACAUGUGCUAAACGUAUGGUACAAACAAUGUUACUUUUUCGGACAUCUAGAAAGGCGAUGUAUUAGGUGAAAACUCAAAUUGAAUGCAAAUGUAAAAACUUUGAUCUAGAGCCAUCAGAUCUUGAAUAGACAACCAGGAUGCAAGGUAGACAUCCACUGAAAACGCAAUUUGCGAAAAAAAAAACUCACAUGCAGAAACCAUUAAUGCAGGAGUGCUGAAAAAAAAAUCUGGAAUGAGCAAAGGAGAGAGAGUUCUGUCCACCGUUGGCUGGACAUGAUGUCUAAACUGUAGACCUAAAUCACCGCGUCCAGUUCACGUCAAUAAGAAAAUCCACAAACAUCUAUGGCUUGAUCGGUUCAUAAUCCAAUAGGCAUUUACAAAGGCAUACAUUAGAAAUAAAUCGUAACGGAAAAGCUUUUCCAAUUAGCAACAUCAACAUGGAUCAACAAACCCAUUGCUAGCUAAAGCUCCAAUUUUCGUCAACCUUUCCGUGGGAUUACGCUUUAUUUCUCCUCCAAAACCUAUUCCAAUAGUGCAAUCCCGUGCACACGUAUUUGCUUUCGAAGUUUCGAUUAUGAGGACCUAGCUUUUCCAAUUAGAUAAGAUUAUGCGGUCUGCCGAUUUCUUUUCUCAAACAAAUCUCCGGCUGCUGCAUAUUACAGCGUUUUCACAGCCAACCCGACGUUGCGUACAGUAUGCGCCGCAACUGCCCUGCUGGGCCUCGGCGACCCCUGCAGCCUAGGCCCACCACGCCCACUUCUUGGUCUGGCGUUCUCAGAUUGGCCCAGCGCCCUUUCCUCGCUCUGGGCCAGUCCGGCCUGCUCCUUACCCGCGCACCUGGGCGCCUGCCGUGCUGUCUGGGCCACGAGCGCCCCUGGUAGCGGCCCGGGUGCGUUGCUCGCUUCCCGCAUGGGCUUUGGUAAGUCCCUGUCGAUCGUUUAAAGGCCAUAACGAAUUCAAUCGGUCGAAGGCCACGACUGGGAGAUUCGAUUGGCGUUUCUUUUUUUUUUUUGCGCAAAUUCGAUUGGCGAUUUAUAACAGCAAAACAAGCUACGGAGUUCCCCUAGAAAAGAAAACUACGAAAUAAUCUCCCCUACAAAAAAUCUACGGAGUAAUCGUUAGCGCUUGUUGCCUCUGGCGAUUACAUAUGCCUCGGGCGAAGAUUCACCUGACAAUUGUUAGCUAGGCAGCUGCCUUUGCAGAGGAAAACACC
rnacentral:lncRNA from 1 species